rnacentral:lncRNA from 1 species
CUUUCCGCCUCUUUGUUUCACCUAUUUUGAGCGUGAAGCCUUUUGGGAAGGCAGCAAGUCUGCGACGGCCGCGCGUGGUGCAGAGCUUGCAGGUCAGCUUCUGGGCACCUGCGCAAUAUAAGCAAGGAUAAAUCUCCCGGGACAGCGAUACUCCUCUUCCUCCUCACCUCCGUUAGCUGGGUAGCAAACACCACCUGAAAUCUCUGCAGGGCUUUGCCAGCCCAGAAACGCACCCCGAGCCACCUGGAGCCCCGCUAACGCUGGCGCAGGAGGGCAGCGCUGCAGCUGUGCCGGCAAGAUCGGAUGCCACCUUCGGAUUCAAAUACAAACAACAACGACGACGACAAAUGGAAGGUUGCUCAGAGAACAGAGAAAAUCCUGCACUUUAUCACCAGUUUAAAUCCACCGGAGAAGGGAAGCUGUCUCUGAGGAGGUGACGUUUGGUUUCCUGUGCAUCUGCCAUCUGGCGUACCUGCCAUAGCCAGGCCCGUACGCGCGGCACUGCUGAAUUCGGAAGCAGUAUGGCCCACACAGUGCAGCGCUCCAUAGCAAUGUGCUUUUUUUUUAAGGAGGAACACUAGAAGCACUUCAGGUUUUUCAUUCUAAGAGUUAUUUUAAUAAAUAACUUUCAAUCUCUUUGUCUUUUGGGUAU